AUGAAGCUCCGUCCCCCAGGGAAUCCUAGUGACUCACCAGCAGGCCUGGCAGGACUGCAGAAGAGCUCCCCGAGCAGCUCCGAGCCCCAAGGAGCCUUCCUACAGGGAAUCCCGACUCCGGGCAGCUCCGAGCCCCAAAGAGCCAUCCUACAAGGAAGUCCCGACUCCCAGCCGAAGGCCCAAAGCCCCAAGGAGCCUUCCUACAAGGAAGUCCCAACCCCGAGCUGCUCCCAGCUGAAGGCCCGAAGCCCCAAGGAGCCGUCCUACAGGGAAUCCCGACUCCGGGCAGCUCUGAGCCCCAAGGAGCCGUCCUACAAGGAAGUCCUGACCCUGAGCAGCUCCGAGCCCCAAGGAGCCUCCUACAAGGAAGUCCCAACCCUGAGCAGCUCCCAGCCUAAGGCCCAAAGCCCCAAGGAGCUGUCCUACAAGGAAGUCCCGACUCCCAGCCAAAGGCCCAAAGCCCCAAGGAGCUGUCCUACAAGGAAGUCCUGACUCCUAGCAGCUCCGAGCAGAAGGCCCAAAGCCCUAAGGAGCCAUCCUACAAGGAAGUCCAAAGGAGAAGAUCCAAGGAGCAGAGCCUCCAAAGGAGAAUUUUACUGAAGAGGAAGUUCAGGACUUUUUAUAGUCGUUUCCCCGAGUCCCUUCUUGUCCCUUGCCCAUUUGCCUGGCACGGCUGGGAGCUGGGACGUGGGAGGGCCAUGGCACCCACUCCAGUCCACUCCGGUGACUUGUGACCUCUCAUCCUUGGUGGCUGAGUCGGGGUGCUUCAGCUUUUAUGCUGAUCUUCGCAUUCCUCACUCACCCGGGCAGCAGAUUCUCAGCCUCUUCCUCUAGCAUCCACGGGGCGUCCCUUCGCCCAGAACAAGCAAUUACGGCUCCUCUGCAAAGCUGCCAGCCCUGGGCAUGGGCAGUGCAUUAGGGAGGAGGAUGGGGAGACCUUCUCUCUAGGGAAAGGCCCGUGAAUGCCGUUACUCCACUUGGGGUCGGCACAUGGGCUCGCCCUCACCUCAGAGCAUUUGUAAUGCCAGGAACCCGGGAUGGGAGGUGCCAAGUUUUCCUGGAAUGAGCAACAGCCAAAUCCUGUGCCCCCACCAUGUUGGGUUCCAUCCUGGCAGAAACUCCUGGGCACAAGCUGGGUAAAGGGGGUCAUUGUUCUGGCUCAAUCUGAACCCGGACAGGGACAGCAGGUUCUGGGCAUUCUCCAGCAUCACCUCCCUGCACAGCUCCUUCUGGGGAGGCUCCAAGAGGCGCCACUCCUCCCGCGUGAAGUCCACAGCCACAUCCUGGAACGUCACCGCCUCCUAGAGCAUCACAAGUCAAAGCACAGGCCUGAAGCACAGUUCUCGGAGGAAACCAAAGCACAGAGAAAGUCUGGCCCCAGCCUUUCCCUGACGUGUGUCAGCGUCCACACGUGAAACCGUAGUGAGGAAACGGCUGCCCUGGAAUAGCCCCGAGGAGCGUCUGACUGAAAUCCCCGAACCCCUCAGGGUUACACGAGUGUCUCCACUUUGUCCUCCUUUACUUGUUUCGGCACCAGAGACCUUGGAUUUUCCAAGACAAUCGCCCUCUUAGGCAACUCACACAGCCGCUCUGUCUCCCCCCAAGCCGUAUGGGGUGAAAGGGGCAUUCAAACACACCCUUAUUUCUCAUCUUUUGUUAAUUGUGGCUGUCCGGCCUGAUGCUCAGGAACCCAGGAUUGGGGGAGCAACCUGGAAAAGCGUGUUUUUAGCAGCAAGACUGUGGGUACAAGGAGGCCGCUCCCAAGGCUCCGGGUCUCCGGCUGCUGACCGGAGUCCGGCGUCACUGUGACACUGACCCUCUCUCAAUAAACCCAUUUCUUUUCGGCUUGGAGACUUUGUU
ensembl:lncRNA